rnacentral:rRNA from 1 species
CCUGACGCAGCAACGCCGCGUGAGUGAAGAAGGCCUUUGGGUCGUAAAGCUCUGUCAACUGGGAAGAAGUUACAACAAUCUAAUAGGUAGUUGUAUUGACGGUACCAGUGGAGGAAGCGCCGGCUAACUCCGUGCCAGCAGCCGCGGUAACACGGGGGGCGCAAGCGUUAUUCGGAAUUAUUGGGCGUAAAGGGCGUGUAGGCGGUCUCAUCGGUCAGAUGUGAAAGCCCAGGGCUCAACCCUGGACGUGCAUUUGAAACAGUAAGACUUGAGUACUGGAGAGGAAAGCGGAAUUCCUGGUGUAGAGGUGAAAUUCGUAGAUAUCAGGAGGAACACCGAUGGCGAAGGCAGCUUUCUGGACAGAAACUGACGCUGAUGCGCGAAGGCGUGGGUAGCGAACAGGAUUAGAUACCCUGGUAGUCCACGCAGUAAACGAUGUACACUAGGUGUAGGUGAUAUUAAAAUUGUCUGUGCCGCAGCUAACGCAUUAAGUGUACCGCCUGGGGAGUACGGUCGCAAGACUAAAACUCAAAUGAAUUGACGG